rnacentral:misc_RNA from 1 species
CAUAUAUCCGAGUCCGUGCCGGAUA